GAUGAACGCUAGCGGCAGGCCUAACACAUGCAAGUCGAGGGAGAAGCCCUUCGGGGCAGAAACCGGCGCACGGGUGCGUAACGCGUAUGCAACCUACCUUUCACAGGGGGAUAGCCCGAAGAAAUUUGGAUUAAUACCCCAUAAUAUUAUUGGGUGGCAUCAUUUGAUAAUUAAAAUUACGAUGGUGAAAGAUGGGCAUGCGUCCUAUUAGCUAGUUGGAGUGGUAACGGCACCCCAAGGCUACGAUAGGUAGGGGUCCUGAGAGGGAGAUCCCCCACACUGGUACUGAGACAGGGACCAGACUCCUACGGGAGGCAGCAGUGAGGAAUAUUGGUCAAUGGUCGGAAGACUGAACCAGCCAUGCCGCGUGCAGGAAGAAUGCCUUAUGGGUUGUAAACUGCUUUUAUAUGGGAAGAAUAAGGAGUACGUGUACUUUGAUGACGGUACCAUAUGAAUAAGCAUCGCA
rnacentral:rRNA from 1 species